rnacentral:rRNA from 1 species
UACGUAGGGGGCUAGCGUUGUCCGGAAUCAUUGGGCGUAAAGCGCGUGUAGGCGGUCCGGUAAGUCCGCUGUGAAAGUCGGGGGCUCAACCCUCGAAUGCCGGUGGAAACUGUCGGGCUAGAGUACGGAAGAGGCGAGUGGAAUUCCUGGUGUAGCGGUGAAAUGCGCAGAUAUCAGGAGGAACACCAAUUGCGAAGGCAGCUCGCUGGGACGUUACUGACGCUGAGACGCGAAAGCGUGGGGAGCAAACAGG